GCUGGGGGGGGGGGGGUGGGCACUCACCUGGGGGGUCGCGGGGGGGUCCCGAGCCCCCCAACCCCGCUCGGCCGGGCCGGGCCGGACGCGCCGCCCCCGCCGGAAGCGGAAGCGGGAGGGGUCACGUGAGGACGGGCCCCGCUGAGCUGCCCCGCCCUCUUUUUUUCCCCCCCCCUCAGGGAGGGUCCCGGGGAUGGCGGGACCCCUCCCCACGUUAAACCGGGGGGGGUUUCGGGACCCCCCGAGCGGCGCCGGGAGGGGAAUUUGGGGCCUUGCCCUCACCCAAGAUGGCGCCGGCGCCGCCGCCUGCCCCGCCAAGAUGGCGGCCGGAGACAAGAUGGCGGCGGCCGCCCUCAACAAAGAUGGCGGCCGAGGACUUGGGACCAAUCAGAGCCGCGGGUCCGGAGCUGGCCACGCCCCCGAGGCAUGGAGGAGCCGGGCGGGAGCCGCGGGGGGCUUCCUGGGGGUCGCCCCUCCCCCGCCCUGGGAGCGGCCCGCGCCGCCCCCGGCCCCGAUCGGGGGGCGGGGGUCCCGAGCUGGAGUACGUGGACCUGGACGAGUUCCUGCGCGAGCACGGGCUGCCCCCCCCCAGCCCCCCCGCGACCCCCGAGCCCCCCGAGAGGGCGCCCGCGCCGGGCCCCCCCCGGGCCCCCCCGGAGGCCGAGGCCGAGGCGCUGGGGGGGGGUCCCGGGGGGGGCCCCUUCGACCCCCGGCGGCUGCGCUUCUCGCAGGAGGAGCUGCGGCCGCAGCCCAUGGCCCGCAAGGCCCGCAAGGUGCACGUGCCCGAGGAGCAGAAGGACGAGAAGUACUGGAGCCGGCGCUCGCGGAACAACGCGGCGGCCAAGCGCUCGCGGGACGCGCGGCGCCUCAAGGAGAACCAGAUCUCGGUGCGGGCGGCGUUCCUGGAGCGCGAGAACGCCGCGCUGCGCCUCGAGGUGGCGGCCGCCCGCCGCGAGCUGCAGCGCUUCCGCGCCCUGCUGGCGCGCUACGAGGCGCGCCACGGCCAGAUCUGAGGGGUUUGGGAUCCUGGGAUCCGCCUGGAGGGGUUUGGGAUGGCCCCAGGUGAUCCAGGAUGGCUCCAGGUGAUCCAGGACUGAUCCAGGACUGACCCAGCGCUUCCGCGCCCUGCUGGCGCGCUACGAGGCGCGCCACGGCCAGAUCUGAGGGAUCCCGGGGGAUCGGGAUCCUGGGAUCCGCCUGGAGGGGUUUGGGAUGGCCCCAGGUGAUCCAGGAGUGAUCCAGGACUGACCCAGGACAGUUCUAAAGCUUCCGCGCUCUCCUGGCGCGCUACGAGGCGUGCCACGGCCAGAUUGAGGGAUUUGGGAUCCUGGAGCGGUUUGGGAUGGCCCCAGGUGAUCCAGGACAGCCUCAGGUGAUCCAGGACAGCCUCAGGUGAUCCAGGACUGACCCAGGUCAUCCAGAAUCCCAGGAGAUCCAGGACUGACCCAGUGCCCUCCUGGCGCGCUACGAGGCGCGCCACGGCCAGAUCUGAGAGGUUUGGGAUCCUGGAGGGGUUUGGGAUCCACCUGGAGGGGUUUGGGAUGGCCCCAGGUGAUCCAGAACUGCAUGGAUGGAUUUGGGGACAGUUGGGAGGGAUCUGGGACAGCUCCGGGCGAUCCAGGAACGCGGAUCCUGCGGGACAGUUCGGGAUCCCAGCCGGAUCCAGCACCAAGCACAGCACCGGAUCGGGCGGUGGAUCAAGGACUGGGACCCAGUGAGGAGAUCCAGAACCGGGAUCCAGCGAGGAGAUCCAGAAAUGGGAUCCAAACCCAGGACCCAGCACCCACACAGCACUGGGAUCUGGGACCAGGUGCUGGAUCCAGAACCGGGAUCCAGUGAGGAGAUGAGAACUGGGAUCCAGUGGGUGGGUCCAGAACCGGGAUACAGCACCAGGAUCUGGGAUUGGGUGCUGGAUCCAGAACCGGGAUCCGGUGAGGAGAUGAGAUCUGGGGUCCAGAACCGGAAUCCGGGGGGGGGGAUCCAGAACUGGGGUCCAGGACCCAAUGAUGGGAUCCAGGAUCCAGCACCACACACAGCACUGGGAGCUGGGACCGGGUGCUGGAUCCGGGACUGGGAUCCAGUGAGGAGAUCCAGAACCCAGUGAUGGGAUCCUGAACUGGGACCCCGACCAGGACCCAGUGAGGAGAUCCAGGACCAGAAUCCAGUGUGGAGAUCCAGAUUUGAGACCCAGAGAGGAGAUCCAAAACCGGAACCCAGCACUGGGACCCCGUGAGAAGAUCCAGAACCGGGAGCCAGAACUGGGAUCCAGUGAGGAGAUCCAGAACCGGGACCCAAAACCAGAACCCAGCACUGGGACCCAGAACCCCGUGAGAAGAACCAGAACCCAGUGAUUGGAUCGAGAACUGGGAUCCAUUGAGAAGAUCCAGGACCCAAAACUGGGAUCCAGAACCGGGAUCCAGUGAGGAGAUCCAGAACCCAGUGAUUGGAUCCAGAACCAGGACCUAAAACUGGGACCCAGAACUGGGAUCCUGAACUGGGAUCCAGUGAGAAGAUCCAGAACCAGGACCCAAAGCUGGGAUCCAGAACCCCCGUGAGAAGAUCCAGGACCCCAUGAUUGGACCCAGAACCGGGAUCCAGUGAGGAGAUCCAGAACCCAGUGAUUGGAUCCAGAACCAGGACCCAGAACUGGGAUCCAGUGCUGGGAUCCUCAACUGGGAUCCAGUGAGAAGAUCCAGAACUGGAACCCAGAACCAGGACCCAGCACCCCCCACCCCGGGGGGGCGAUGGGACUAAGACCCCUCCCCUCCCCCCACCAGAUUCCCAAAUUCCAGGACCCCCCUCCCCCCUCCCCUAUUUAUUCCCAGCCCCCCCCCGGGCUGGAUCAAAGCACAAAUUGUGGGGGGAGGGGUCCCGGGGGUCUCCCCUCCCCCUCCCCCAGUGACCAUUCCCAGUUCAGGCCAGUAGCGUUACUGGGGCGGGGGGAGGGGCGCCCCCGUCACCCCUCCCCCUCCCCGAAAUCCCCUGCCCUUCCCCCCCCCGCACUUUGACCACUUUACUGCCCCUCCCCCCCCCCAAGCACGAGGGAUUUUGGGGGGGGGGUCGCGCCCCGCCCCCCCCCGGGGGUGGGGGAGGGGUUUUUGUACAGAAUUAAAACA